UUAACAGGAGAGACGAAGCUCGCGGGGACGGGGUGCGGGGUGCAGGCCGCCCGCGCUGGGGGACGCCCCGGAGGGUUCCCGUCGCGCCUCACCCCGCUGCGGGGCGGCUCCCGCAGACUCGCAGGACCCCCGCGAGGAGCCGCCUCCGAAAGCUCCCCGGGGCCCAGGGCCAGCGCGGAGGGCGCCAGCGGCGGCGGCUGCCCGGGGCGCGGGACCCCGCGAGUGCGCCCAGGUGGCGCGGGACAGGGGACGUCGGGGACCCGCGCGCUCCGGGGCGCUCGCAGCCUCCGCGGACCUGACGCCGCGCUGGCCCGGGGCGCGCCCCCGCCCUCCCCCUCCCUCUCCCGCCUCCCUCCCCCCGACCCCGCCGACCCGCCGACCCGCGACCCGCCGGCCGGCCGGAGCCAGCGCCGAGUCGGCGCAGGGCGGGCGAGCGAGGCCACCUGCCGCUCCGGGACGCAGGGAUCAGGAGGCCGCCCGCCGCCGCGCGCGCGGAGCCGAGCCCAGAGCGCCCCCCGGAGCCGCCUCGGGGAGGGUCCGCACCGGGUCGCGGGCAGGACAGGCCCCCAGGGUCCCAGGCGCCCCCCGCCCGCACUUUCCCGCGGCCGGCGGCUGCAGGGCCCCAAGCAGCCCCGGGGCCGCGACCCCGGGCCCGCCCCGAGGCCGCCGGGGGCGGGGGCGGGGGCAGGGAGCGCGAGCCCGCGGGGUGCCCUGGCCCCCGGCGCGCGCCGAGCCCGCCUGCCCGCGCCCACCCCGCCGGGCACGGGGCGCAGCGCGGCGCCGCCUCACUCACCUCCGGGCGCGCUCCCCGACCUGCGGCUCCGCGCCCGCCGGGCUCCCGGACCUCGGCGGAGGGGGCGGGGCGCGGGGGGCGGAGCCGGCGCCGGCGAGCAAGCGCCAGAAUUAAACCCCGAAACGGGCUGCGGCUCUCGGGGCCCUCCGCCCCCGCGAGGGCGAGCCAGGCGGGGAGGCCCAGCCGCGCUCGCCCGGGGAGGGGCGGGGAGGGGCGGGGCGGGAGGGACCCCCCUCCCCAGGCGGCUCCCGAGACCUCCGGGGGCCCCCGCGCGGCGCCGCGCUCCUUUGUACCCCGGGACCCGGCCGGCGGGCUGGCCCCAGUGCGCCUGCGCGCCGCCCCAACCCCGCCAGGCCCACGAGGCACCUUCGCGCACCUCCGCCCCCGCCCCCGCCCGCCCCCGGAGCGCCCGGCAGGGGAGCGCCCUCCGCGCCGCCCGCCCCCGCCGCCCCCGCCGCCCGCGUGUGCCCGCUCUUCCCCCGGGGAGGGCAGACGUGCAUCCCCCGCCCCCCGGGAAACUCGACUCGGUCGCCACCGACCGUCCCGACCCGGAGGCACCGCGGCUAGUAUCCCCGCCCGCCUGCCGCGCGGCUCACUGCCCCCGCACCCCUCCGCUGGGGUCGCUUGUGGCCCCAGGUGGUCUCGCAGGGCCCUCGCUUCUGGCAGGUGCCCGAGCAGGACCGCCCCCGGGGUGGCCAGGGACCUCCCGCCGCCUUUCCCAGGGCGCGCUCGGCCGCAGGACCGGGGGGGGGGGGGGACGGGGAGCAGAGUCCAGAAGCGUGCAUGAGCUGGGGGACCCCGGGGCGGGGAGGGAGGCGCAGUGCCCGCCUCGGGAGCUGAGAGCCAACUAG
rnacentral:lncRNA from 1 species